UAACUGGUGAUGGUACGACUUCUAAUGUCC
rnacentral:piRNA from 1 species